UACGGUGGGUGCGAGCGUUAAUCGGAAUUACUGAGCGUAAAGCGUGCGUAGGUGGUUCGAUCAGUCUGAUGUGAAAGCCCUGGGCUUAACCUGGGAAUGGCCUUGGAAACUGUCGAGCUGGAGUGUGGGAGAGGGGCGUGGAAUUUCCGGUGUAGCAGUGAAAUGCGUAGAGAUCGGAAGGAACACCAGUGGCGAAAGCGCUCUACUGGGCCGCAACUGACACUGAGGGACGAAAGCUAGGGGAGCGAAUGGG
rnacentral:rRNA from 1 species